rnacentral:rRNA from 1 species
GAUGAACGCUGGCGGCGUGCCUAAUACAUGCAAGUCGAGCGAACAGACGAGUAUCUUGCUCCUCUGACGUUAGCGGCGGACGGGUGAGUAACACGUGGAUAACCUACCUAUAAGACUGGGAUAACUUCGGGAAACCGGAGCUAAUACCGGAUAAUAUAUUGAACCGCAUGGUUCAAUAGUUAAAGACGGUUUUGCUGUCACUUAUAGAUGUAUCCGCGCCGCAUUAGCUAGUUGGUAAGGUAACGGCUUACCAAGGCGACGAUGCGUAGCCGACCUGAGAGGGGGAAGGGCCACACUGGAACUGAGACACGGUACAGACACCUACGGGAGGCAGAAGUAGGGAAUCGUCCGAAAAGGGCGAAAGCCUGAAGGAGCAACGCAGCGUGAGUGAUGAAGGGCUUCGGAUCGUAAAACUCUGUUAGUAGGGAAGAACAAAUGUGGAAGUAACGAUGCACGUCUUGACGGUACCUAAUCAGAAAGCAACGGCUAACUACGUG